CAGCAGCCGCGGGAAUACGAAGGGGGCUAGCGUUGUUCGGAAUUAUUGGGCGUAAGGGGUGCGUAGGCGGUUUCUUAAGUCUGAUGUGAAAGCCCCCGGCUCAACCGGGGAGGGUCAUUGGAAACUGGGAAACUUGAGUGCAGAAGAGGAGAGUGGAAUUCCACGUGUAGCGGUGAAAUGCGUAGAGAUGUGGAGGAACACCAGUGGCGAAGGCGACUCUCUGGUCUGUAACUGACGCUGAGGAGCGAAAGCGUGGGGAGCGAACAGGAUUAGAUACCCCAGUAGUCCCUGUCUCUUAUAC
rnacentral:rRNA from 1 species